GAUGAACGCUGGCGGCGUGCCUAAUACAUGCAAGUCGAGCGAACGGACGAGAAGCUUGCUUUUCUGAUAUUAGCGGCGGACGGGUGAGUAACACGUGGAUAACCUACCUAUAAGACUGGGAUAACUUCGGGAAACCGGAGCUAAUACCGGAUAAUAUUUUGAACCGCAUGGUUCAUAAGUGAAAGACGGUCUUGCUGUCACUUAUAGAUGGAUCCGCGCUGCAUUAGCUAGUUGGUAAGGUAACGGCUUACCAAGGCAACGAUGCAUAGCCGACCUGAGAGGGUGAUCGGCCACACUGGAACUGAGACACGGUCCAGACUCCUACGGGAGGCAGCAGUAGGGAAUCUUCCGCAAUGGGCGAAAGCCUGACGGAGCAACGCCGCGUGAGUGAUGAAGGUCUUCGGAUCGUAAAACUCUGUUAUUAGGGAAGAACAUAUGUGUAAGUAACUGUGCACAUCUUGACGGUACCUAAUCAGAAAGCCACGGCUAACUACGUG
rnacentral:rRNA from 1 species